rnacentral:lncRNA from 1 species
GUAACCCUAGCAGCAAAUGCAAGGUCCACAAUAAGCAAAGCAAUGAAAGCAGCCCCUAAGACCUUUGAGGUUGCCAUCAUUUAAUUCUUUCACAAACUCAAUAGUGAAGUAAAGUAAUAUUAUUAAAAAUGAGAAUAUACCAAUGGUUUGAGGAUUCAAGAGAUGGAUCACACACAAAACACUAACAGGAAACUAUUAUUGCACUGCGUGUAGUCUUGUUUGUACUUAGGUGUUGGUGCAAAAGUGCUAGGUAAGGGACCCUAUAUAUACACUUUGAAAAGGAUGAAGCUGAUUCUCUAGUAGCUUCCUUAACACCUAACCAGUUACUUUUAUGUCAUGAUUAGUUUGUAGGAACUUGUUGCGGAG